GUGGGAGUGUGGGCAGGUGGUGAUGUCUCAGAGCCACAUCUUUGAGCCUAGUUAGUGGACAUCACCCAGGUGAGGGCUUAGAGGAAAGGCAGACCUCAGAGUUGCCCCUGCUGCAUGUCUGGGUGUGAGGAACCACACCCUGUAGAUAAACACAUAUUCCUUUCUUUGAUUUGAGCCCAUCCUCCCACUCCCAUAUCUCCCAUUCCCUCCAGCUCUAGCCUAGGUUUUUAAUUCCUGGUUUGUUUUGCUUCUUUUCUUCCCUUUUCUCUGUUCUUCCUCCUCAUUUAUGGCUGACCUCUCUUCCCAGCACAGUGCUUUCUUCGAUUUCCUCUACAGAAACUCAUUUAUUUGAUUUAAACUUGAGUUGAAUCUAAUUACCUUCUUCCAUAUGCAGCCCUGAUGAGCAUUGCCCAGACUUUCAUGCCUUCUCUUCCUUUCAGAGGGGCCCCAGACCUGGAUUAUUCCUCUUUCCUCCUCCGCAACUUCAUCCUAGCUUUAUUCUCCAGCAAAGUCCAACUACCUGAAGUUUCCUAAAUGUACCAUCUUGUUUAAAUUUUCUCAACGCCUCCUAUGCCCAACUUGAACUUCCUUCCCAACACACUCUCCCCUCCUCUGGUGAGUUAAACUCACUCUUAUUUUGCAAGAUAAUUUAUACAUCACCUCAACUACAGUGUAUUAUGAAGAUAGACAAAGUUAGGUUAAAGUAACAAACAUCAUCACAAUCUGUGUAAGUUAACAUAGCAAAAGUUUAUUUCUUGGAUCUGUAUAGGUCUGGGAGAUGAUCUUGUGAUGAUGUGUUUUUCGUGGCAGUUCAGCAUCCCUCAGGAUCUUUCCAGCUUGUAUCCAAUCCACAUCAAGUGCUUGCACGACCACUGGACUGGAUGGAGAAUUGUGAACUGGCUCUUAAACGCUUCUGCCUGGAAGUGACACCUGUCAUUUCUGAUCACAUUUCAAUGGCAUGUGUCCAUGCAUAUUUUCAAAGAGAAAAGUGCCCUGAAGGAAAAGAGAACCAGAAAUCUUAAGUUCUACUCUUUGGUAAUAUUAUCACUCCUAAACUGCUUGUGUGUGACCUGUGGACAGAAUGCAAGCAUUCUUGACCUGGAUAUUGUCAUCUUUACAGGUUUUGGAAACUGGAAAAACCCUUCAGGAGCCCCGGACACAAGGUCCGAGAAGGAUGAACAGUAACUUUGUCUUGAAGCUGGCCUCUCCCAUGUGGUGUGGCUGUCCUUGAACCCUUCUCACCAAAGGCCUCUGGAAGAGAAAUGGCUGAGUCCACACAAAGGUGUCAAGUGGCUCCAGCUGCAAGGAGAGGAGAAAUACAGUGGCUGGGAACCAGGCACUUGAUGAAAUAGGUCCCUGCAGUAUUGAUUUUGAAUCUCUUUCACCAGUUAGCCAUUUUGAUUGAGGGUAUUGUCUGACACUGGGAUAGAAGGAAGUCGAAACUUGCCUUGAAUUUUAUUCCUCAGAUUCCCAGGGAGGGGGAAAAAUACCUUCACAUAGGUAAUAUAAAAAUAGCUAUGUUCCAAGGGAAUCUGAAAGAAAUAUUCAGAGAUUGCUGAAAACCAUAUAAUUUUGUAGUUGUACAAGCAGAGAUGACUUUUCUUCUUUAUUCAUUUUAAGAACAGUUUAAAUUGGUUUGUACAUAAUAAAAAUUUAGCCUUUCAUCA
rnacentral:lncRNA from 1 species